rnacentral:rRNA from 1 species
GAGUUGUAAUUUGAAGAGGCGUUUUCUGUGCAGUUUGGUCAGCCUAAGUCCUAUUGAAUGAGGCAUCAUGGAGGGUGAUAAUCCCGUUCGGUUGAUCAUUGCGCUUUACGAUACGCUUUCAAAGAGUCAAGUUGUUUGGGAAUGCAGCUUAAAAUGGGAGGUAAAUUUCUCCUAAGGCUAAAUAACGGCGAGAGACCGAUAGCGAACAAGUACCGUGAGGGAAAGAUAAAAAGAACUUUGAAAAGAGAGUUAAAUAGUACAUGAAAUUGUUAAAAGGGAAAUGAUUGAAGCCAGUUGUACUUGCGGGCAAUCAGCCUUUUGGGUGUGAUUAUGUGGGGCAUGAGGAGUUAAUCACCCUCAUCUUUGCAUAUUCGUGCGUGCACUUUGGGUGUACUUGCUCAUCUGGUAGACUAACAUCAAUUUUGGUCAUCAUAAAAUGGCUGGAGGAAUGUAGCUUCGAUCUCGUAUUGAAGUGUUAUAGCCUUUGGUAGACGUGAUGAUUGGAAUUGAGGAUUGCAAUGGAUACCCUUCAGGCUACCUGUCUGAUCUCUGGAAGUUGCUCUGGUGCUAAAAGCUUGCUU